AUGAACUCCAAGAUUAUCGAUCGAAUUAGGAAGAGGAGAAGCAAGGAUGAUGAAGAUAUGAUGUCCUUUAUUCUGCCCGUAUUGCAUCGAACGCGUAGUAGAGGGCCAAUCGAGAGAACUCAGCGACAUAGCUCCAUCUUAUAUGGCAAGAAGCGGGUUGAUGAUAUCCUUACAGGGCAUGUUAAGAAUUACCUAGUAGCUUAUAGGAUGGAGCCACGUAUCUUCCGGGCUUUGGCAUCUUACCUUAGAAGAGAAAAUCUGAUAUUGAAUAAAAGAAUUAAGGUGGAGGAGAAGUUAGCCUUUUUCUUGUACAUGGUGUCUCACAACGCAUCUUAUGAAGAUCUUCAGCUAGAAUUUCAGCAUAGUGGACAAACAUUUCAUGAGUACAUCAAUGAGUUCUUCAACAUCGUCCCCAUUUUAGCUAGUCGAUUUUUGAAGCCCCCGAACAUUGAUGAGCCACAUCCAGUAAUCUCCACCGACACAAGAUUUUAUCCUUACUUCCAGGUUUCCAUUUUUAAUGCUUCCAUAAUUCCUUUUCUUAUCUAA
rnacentral:rRNA from 1 species